UUAGAAAAGAUGACACUGACAAAACCAUGGAGGCUAGUUUGGAGACGUUUGUUAUUUUCUGUUGAAAGAGAACAAUUAGGAGGCUACUGUAGUGGUCACCCGAGACUAAUCAUGUGAGAUAAGGUUGGCAGAAGGGAAGGUCCUUCUCAUCAAACAGAGGAAGAAACUGAAGCUCUGACUGGUGAAUGAAUUCAAGGAAUGGAUUAAAGACUGUAUUUACAAUAACCGGGACAUGGAAGCCACCUAACUGUCCAUCGACAGAUGAAUGGAUAAAGAAGAUAUGGCACAUAUAUACAAUGGAAUAUUACUCAGCCAUGAAAAGAAAUGAAAUUGAGUUAUUUAUAGUGAGGUGGAUGGACCUAGAAUCUGUCAUACAGAGUGAGGAUAGCAAAGGGACAACAAACCUUAUACUAUGGAAAGAUUUGGUUGAAAAAUGAUCUUCUAUUGACUAGCAAGUUCUGACAAGGCCCACUGUGUGGGUGUAUGGAAAAUUGAAAAGAAAACCUAAAGGAGUCUUUUGGGAGAAACUGCUAACAGGACUUGUACUAUUUUGCACAUGGUAAGGGCAAAAUACACAUGCAGUGCAUCACAUUGUAAAACAAAAGAGGAAAAUGGAAGAAAUGAUGUAUCAUCACACAGAAAAUAUAUGAUGAGAAUCUUAAUAUCACAGCCCCAUAUUGGCUUUAAAAAUCUGAAUAUUUCAGCAACUGCAUUCAAGCCUCGUUUGCAGUCAGAGACCUCAAAAUGGGUGACUAAAGGGAACGAUAAACCAGAAAAAGUUCAUCCCACAGCCCUCACCACAAACUGAAAAGUGAGGUCGAGGAAUGCUUCCCAGAGAGAUGAAAAUACAUCAGAUAUGAGAUGCCUAUGAAGCUUUGUUUCAGUCAAUCUAAUUCGAUACCUAAAAAUAAAUAAAGAGAGAGAGUCCUCCUCGUGCCAACAUCAUCAUCUGCAUGUAACCAUCACUUUUGUAGCUAAUCCUCAGGCUGAUUUGGCCAAGUUAACCUGUAAGUAUAAUUCUGCUCUUGCCAACACAUCCCUCUGCCAGAAGAGGCAUGGGAAGAAGACACUGCAUGCGUUACUCAUGCUGUAAUAUGAAACUUUAUUUUCCAAUUCAGAGUUAAUUCAGGAAGCAACAGAAAAACAUGCUGUUGUCUUUUUAAGCACAUUUAAGUGUAUGUGCUCGUAGUUCCUCAUUCUGUGUAUAUAUGCUUUCCCAGAAAGUUCAUGCCCACCGGGUAUGUGUUGCAUGUUUGCUAAUAAAUAAAACCUGCUGGGAACGCAUUAGCUCCAGUUUAAAAGCCAUUUGCUGCUUGUAAGUUCGAGAGUGACCCGCUCCCUAUUUUAAUCAUCAGAAUCUCUCAUGAAUUAGAAAACUAUAACUGGCCAAACUGUAUUGCCUAUGGGGUUGCUUCAAGUUCAAGUCUGUGUAUUUAGAAGUCUUAUUACAGUGGGGAUGAGGAAAGAACUGAAUGGCUGGCCUCCUAACUCUGAGUUGCAUGUGAGGCAUAUCUUAGUUAUUUCUUAAAUUGAUUCUUGCCUGAAUGCUCCCUUAGGGCUUAAAAAUAGAUUUUCAUAUUCCAUAAUUUAAUAAAUAGUCAGGAGGGCAGGCUGUCCCUCCUUUGAAAACUUGGGAAGUCCUCAGUUGUUUGAAUUUCAAGUCGCACUGUGGGAGGCACUGGUUUGUCCUAGGCUUUCAUUCAUUUAGCAUUGACAGCUUCCUGGGGGUGCUGGUGGCUCUGGGGUGGUAGGUCACACAGCUGGGAGGAAGCAGUCCUGUCCUUAUAUGACUCCCUGGGAUCCUGUGCCGAUAGUCUUGUUUGCACAGUUGAUAGAUGUCUGUGUGGCCACCAGAUUUCUAUAUACAAAAGGCAGAGUUCUAUGCGUUACACAGACCUGCUAUGUGGGACCUGCUUAGUGGGGCAAGGUAGAGCCUGUCAGGCUGGGGCAGAGUAAUUGAAAAAUGUACCCUGGCCUACCUAGGUCAUGUGUCUUCUGGUGAGCUCUAUGUAGUAUUAAGCUUAACCAAAGGCUUCUUGUUUUAUUUCCCAUAUUGGGGCCAGGUUACCAUAAUCAUCAUUUCUUAUAAAGCAACUGGUUCUCAGAAUUUUUAUCUUAGAUGUUUAUAAAUGCCUUACUUUUCACUGUCUUAUGUCAGUGCAGACACAAGGGGCAUUGUGUAUAUUUUCAAUACAGUACUAUAUAUUAGCACUCCAUUACGUCCACUCUGGAUGAAAUUGAUUGCUUGGAGGUGAUCACUAAUACAUACGCCCCAUGAGAAGGCAAUGUAAUGAGCUGUGACCUAAACGCACGUGUCCAUUGGCUGCGGAAUCUCUCCUUGCCUGCCACCAAAUCCAGUGGCAGAGAAACCACAGGGCUUUUGUCUUAUACUUAAUUUUUAAUAGGAUCUGAUGUCCCAGAAAUUUAGAAACUUCUGAAAGUGGAAGGAAGACCUGUUGCCCCAGACAUAACCUAAUACUGUAAACGUAGUGAAUCUCAAACUGGAUUUUAAGUAUUUCUUGUGAUGAGGUUUGAUUGGUUCUUGAGAAAAUCAACAUUUUUGGGAGGAGAGUGGGUCUUCAGAAAGAGGAGAAACAACCCCUUUUGUGACAAUUGACUCCUGGAAAAAGACCCCCAGGAGAGCAGGUAUUCUGACACUAAAGGGGUUUGUGUUUGUGUGGUAUGUGUGCCUGUGUUGGUCUGUGUGUGUUUGUGUGUGUAUUGUUUGGGAGAGUGAUUGUUGUAAUGGAAUAUUUUCAGUAUUCGAUGUGUUUGCCUCUCUGUCCCUGAUCUCAUCCUCCUAGACCCAGUUCCACUGAACAGAUAAGAAAAUGUGACCAUGGGUAGGAGUAUUUGAUUAUAGUCUAGUGUGAUCCAAGUGAACACUUUUGAAUGAGAAUACCAGGUUACUCAGCAAUGCUAUAAAAGUACCGAACUUUGCAAGGCAAAGAUUAUUGCUUUGGAACUUUUGGUGAUGACAACUUAGAUGCCCUCCUUGUCAUUUAUGUACCUUCGAUUGGGUUUCUUCUAUGUAAUGAAUCAUGUAACAGAUGACAUCUUGGAAUAAGAUAACAUAAAGGUGAUCUUGUCAAACUACCACCUAGAUAGCAUUUUAUUUUCUUACACAUCUAUAAUAUGGACCAUUUUACAAAGAACAUAGUUUAUCUUCACAACAGACACUUAAAGGAAAUAGGUCUGGGUUAAGUUGGAAAAAAUAAAACUUAGAGAUGAUAGGAGACUUGCACAGACCCAUGCUAAUUGGCAGAUUUUAGGUACAGACUGAAACCCAGAUCAUAUACCAUCAUCUUUACCGAAACACCUUCAUUUGUAUCCUACCGUUGUCUGUUAAGGAUGAUGAAUCCUGUUACCAG